rnacentral:rRNA from 1 species
CGGGGUGGAGUAACGCGUGGGUACGUGCCUUAUACAGGGGAGUAACAGUUGGAAACGGCUGCUAAUACCGCAUAAGCGCACGGCAUCGCAUGAUGCAGUGUGAAAAACUCCGGUGGUAUAAGAUGGACCCGCGUUGGAUUAGCUAGUUGGUGAGGUAACGGCCCACCAAGGCGACGAUCCAUAGCCGACCUGAGAGGGUGACCGGCCACAUUGGGACUGAGACACGGCCCAA